GUUAGGAUUUCAGCAUAUGAAUUUUGAGGGGGACACAGUUCAACAAUCUUCUGUUCAGGUUCUCUCUGUACUUUUGCUCACCAGUACAUAGAACUCUAAAAUGGCUGCUCCAUGGGCCCCUAAAGGGCAUAGCUUCCAAGUGGCUAUACCAGUUGACAUUCCUACCAACAACACAUAAGGAUUUCUUUUUCUCCACAUCCUAUGGAUAAUUGCCAGUGACAGAAAU